rnacentral:rRNA from 1 species
AUACGGAGGGUGCAAGCGUUAAUCGGAAUUACUGGGCGUAAAGCGUACGUAGGCGGUUUAUUAAGUCAGAUGUGAAAGCCCCGGGCUUAACCUGGGAACUGCAUUUGAAACUAGUAGACUAGAGUAUGGUAGAGGGGGGUAGAAUUCCUAAUGUAGCGGUGAAAUGCGUAGAUAUUAGGAGGAAUACCAGUGGCGAAGGCGGCCCCCUGGACCAAUACUGACGCUGAGGUACGAAAGCGUGGGGAGCGAACAGGAUUAGAAACCCCAGUAGUCC